CAAAAAAGUAAUAAUUUCAAAACGAAUGAAAUUAAAUUAACUAAUUUGAUAAUUCACAGUAAAUAGACUCCUAAAUAACAACAAAUAACUCCAAGUAUUCAACAAUUAAGUACUAUUUUAUGUUAGAUAACGUCGAAUAUAUAUUUGUAAAAGGAUUUAUUGCAACAGAGAGAUAUUUAUUUUACACGACUGUCCUACAU
rnacentral:misc_RNA from 1 species